UCUCCCAAAUCAGAUUUUCACUCUUCUUUCUCCCUAAAACACAGCAGCUCUUGGUCUCUCUUCCUCCCCACCAAACAGCUCCACCCCCUCUCAACUCUCAUCUCUUCUUUACACAAGCUCGGAUUAGCAUGGGAAUGGGUUGAGCUCGUGUGGAAGACCAAGAGGAAGAGUUUCAAGGGCUGAAAAUAGUAGCUUGAGCUUGGAUCAUGGGUUUUGCUUCCAAGUGAAAGUUCCAUCAUCUACUAGACUAGAGUAGUGAUUAUCAACUUCAAAGGGGUUCAAUAUACCGAUUAUUCUAAGAUGUAGUUUCUUUGGCUGCAGGUAUUCUGGUCGUAGUUGAUGAUGUUGUAGAAGUAUACUUGAGAUAUUAUGACUGAACCUCGCCGCGACGGUUGUAAUUGUCAGACCAUGGGUUGUCCACUAUUCUAUUGGUUUGUUCAUGGCUUGUGACGUUUGUGUCACUUGUUAUUGUAUAAAGCCAUUUAUGUUAUGUAUUUAUUAUGAGAAAAGACUUAAAAAGAUAGAUGUAAUAUGGCUCUUUGUUUAUGAUUAUUUGUAAUAGAGGUUUAUGUUAUGAUUUCCGCUA